rnacentral:rRNA from 1 species
AUUGAACGCUGGCGGCAGGCUUAACACAUGCAAGUCGAGCGGGGGAGAUUGCUUCGGUAAUUGACCUAGCGGCGGACGGGUGAGUAAUACUUAGGAAUCUGCCUAUUAAUGGGGGACAACAUCUCGAAAGGGAUGCUAAUACCGCAUACGCCCUACGGGGGAAAGCAGGGGAUCACUUGUGACCUUGCGUUAAUAGAUGAGCCUAAGGCGGAUUAGCUAGUUGGUGGGGUAAAGGCCUACCAAGGCGACGAUCAGUAGCUGGUCUGAGAGGAUGAUCAGCCACAUUGGGACUGAGACACGGCCCAAACUCCUACGGGAGGCAGCAGUGGGGAAUCUUGCGCAAUGGGCGAAAGCCUGACGCAGCCAUGCCGCGUGUGUGAAGAAGGCCUUAUGGUUGUAAAGCACUUUAAGCGAGGAGGAGGCUACUAGUACUAAUACUACUGGAUAGUGGACGUUACUCGCAGAAUAAGCACCGGCUAACUCUGUGCCAGCCGCCGCGGUAAGAC